GAACGAAGGAUUCGUCUGAAUGAAAAAUUAAACAUCAAAUGACAAGUGUCCAGUGGCCUAUAGAUACCGCCUUAAUCGUUUCAGAUUUGGUUAACCUUAUGGCGCUAAUAAAUACCAUUAUACCUAUACACAUGUAGUACAAAAAGGCCUGUUAUUACGUGAUCGGCAGGAACUUGGGAAACGUUAGCGGGGCAAUGACAUUGAAAAUGGUUGAAACAAGUGUAAUAUCUUGUAAUUUUUAUUGACACGUAUCCAAGUUUCCGAUUGGCUGAGCUUUAUAUUCCUUGAAUUUAAAAAAUAAGUAAAUGGUGAAUCUUUUCAACUAUACUAUAUACAUUUUAUAAUAACCACCAACUUGUUUUUAUCACAUCUAAAUUACGUUACAAUUUUGUCCGUUAUCAGUCUUCACAUGAAACAUCGUAUUCAU